rnacentral:tRNA from 1 species
GUCUCAGUAGCAUAGUGGCUAGUGCACAGCCCCGGAUAGGUUGAGACGCGGGUUCGAAUCCUGCAGAGAUG